UACGGAGGGAGCUAGCGUUGUUCGGAAUUACUGGGCGUAAAGCGCAUGUAGGCGGAUUAGUAAGUUAGAGGUGAAAUCCCAGGGCUCAACCCUGGAACUGCCUUUGAUACUGCUAGUCUUGAGUUCGAGAGAGGUGAGUGGAAUUCCGAGUGUAGAGGUGAAAUUCGUAGAUAUUCGGAGGAACACCAGUGGCGAAGGCGGCUCACUGGCUCGAUACUGACGCUGAGAUGCGAAAGCGUGGGGAGCAAACAGG
rnacentral:rRNA from 1 species